GUGCAGACGUGUCCUCUUCCGACCAGGUGUUUGCCAGAGCUGUGGUAGCACCAAUCUGCAGGGUUUCCCUGUGUUGCCCCUGAGAAGCUUUCAUUGGUGGGAGGAGCCUACAGUCAGACCAGAUGUCUGCUGGCAGCCCAUGCUGGGGCCACAGACAGACUGGUAUGUGUGGUUUAUCUUCCCCUCUCCCUGGGGCAUGAGUCAUUUUAGAGUGGUGCUUGUCCCUGGCGAGGCUGCUUGCACACUGCCACCCUUGUGGUAUUGCUUUGGAUGGACUCCUCAGGUCUGCAGGAGAGCGUGGGGACAGGGGUGCCAGCCAGGUCCAUGCCAGUCUACUGCAGGAGAGAACUUAACAGCUGCCAAGGAAAACACUUGUCCAGGCUGGGAUGGAGGGGCCGAGUCUAGAGAAGAAUGCAGGGGUAAGGCACCCUGUUAGCAAGCUUAGGUUGAGAGUAUUUGUGCUACGCUGGUUCCCACAGGUUUACUUUCCAGGCUGGGAGUCAGGGGAGGGAAGAGGGAAAUGGUGCCUGCCAGCUCUUUUGUUGCUGGAGAAGUCUCCCAAAGAUCCCUGCUCCUCCAACACAUUCUUUGAGAUUAGUAAACAAAUCUCUUUCCUGUAUGCCCUAGGCAUUUUUCAAACUGCUGGUUCUAUGUUGUAUCUCAUCAGGACUGUUUGUUGUGCUAUCUCUUUUAGGGAAGGGACUCAGUUCCCUUUUGUCCUCCAGCUCUGUCAGCACCAAGCCUGCUGAGUUUUAAAG